GAUGAACGCUGGCGGCGUGCCUAAUACAUGCAAGUCGAGCGAACAGAUGAGGAGCUUGCUCCUCUGACGUUAGCGGCGGACGGGUGAGUAACACGUGUAUAACCUACCUAUAAGACUGGGAUAACUUCGGGAAACCGGAGCUAAUACCGGAUAAUAUAUUGAACCGCAUUGUUCAAUAGUGAAAUACGGUUUUGCUGUCACUUAUAGAUGGAUCCCGGCCGGAUUAGCUAGUUGGUAAGUUAACGGCUUACCAAGGCAACGAUGCGUUGCCGACCUGAGAGGGGGGUCGGCGACCCUAGAACUGGACCACGGACAAGGGUACUAAGGGACGGCGCAGUAGGGAAUCGUCCGCAACGGGGGGGAACCUGGCGGAGCAACGGGGCGUGAGAUAUGGAAGUCUUGCGAUCGUAAAACUCUCUUACUAGGGGAAAACCAAUGUGGCAGUUACUAUGCAGGUCUUGACGGUAACUAAUCAGAAAGCCACGGCUAACUACGUG
rnacentral:rRNA from 1 species